GAUGAACGCUGGCGGCGUGCUUAACACAUGCAAGUCGAACGAUGAAGCCCAGCUUGCUGGGUGGAUUAGUGGCGAACGGGUGAGUAACACGUGAGUAACCUGCCCUUAACUCUGGGAUAAGCCUGGGAAACUGGGUCUAAUACCGGAUAGGAGCGUCCACCGCAUGGUGGGUGUUGGAAAGAUUUAUCGGUUUUGGAUGGACUCGCGGCCUAUCAGCUUGUUGGUGAGGUAAUGGCUCACCAAGGCGACGACGGGUAGCCGGCCUGAGAGGGUGACCGGCCACACUGGGACUGAGACACGGCCCAGACUCCUACGGGAGGCAGCAGUGGGGAAUAUUGCACAAUGGGCGCAAGCCUGAUGCAGCGACGCCGCGUGAGGGAUGACGGCCUUCGGGUUGUAAACCUCUUUCAGUAGGGAAGAGGCGAAAGUGACGGUACCUGCAGAAGAAGCAUCGGCUAACUACGUG
rnacentral:rRNA from 1 species